rnacentral:rRNA from 1 species
AUACGGAGGAUGCGAGCGUUAUCCGGAUUUAUUGGGUUUAAAGGGAGCGUAGGUGGGAUAUUAAGUCAGCUGUGAAAGUUUGGGGCUCAACCUUAAAAUUGCAGUUGAUACUGGUUUCCUUGAGUACGGUACAGGUGGGCGGAGUUCGUGGUGUAGCAGUGAAAUGCUUAGAUAUCACGAAGAACUCCGAUCGCGAAGGCAGCUCACCGGGCCGGAACUGACACUGAUGCUCGAAAGUGCGGGUAUCAAACAGGAUUAGAUACCCUGGUAGUCCGCACAGUAAACGAUGAAUACUCGCUGUUUGCGAUACACUGUAAGCGGCCAAGCGAAAGCGUUAAGUAUUCCACCUGGGGAGUACGCCGGCAACGGUGAAACUCAAAUGAAUUGACGGGG